CCAGUCUCUGGGCGAAAAACAGCAGGGGUUUUUGUGAGUGGUCCUUCUGAGAACAAUGACACUGAGGCGUGCGUGCACGAGACGACUCCAUUUUUUUCUUUCAGUGUUUGAAUGAACUCAACGUCGCGCGUUUGGAAUAUUAUCGUUAUUUUACGCGAAAAAUAGCAUAAACAUUUAUUUUAAACAGCGUUUGACAUGCUUCGAAGUACGGUAAUGGAAUAUUUGGCAUUUUUUUGUCACGAAAUGCGCCUCACCCUUCGGAUAGUGACUUGAACGCACGAACAAAACGGAGCUAUUUGGAUAUAACUAUGGAUUAUUUCGAACCAAAACAACAUUUGUUGUUGAAGUAGAAGUCCUGGGAGUGCAUUCUGACGAAGAACAGCAAAGUUAGCCCGGGGCACACUCCUACACUCAGGCAUAAUUUACAAACAAUUGAAACAUCCUGUCGGGCUGUAUCACCGCCUGAUACGGCAACUGCACCACCCACAACCGCAAGGCUCUCCAGAGGGUGUUGCCGUCUCCCCAAUGCAUUACCGGGGGCAAACUACUCACCCUCCAGGACACCUACAGCACCCAAUGUCACAGGAAGGCCAAAAAGAUAAUCAAGGACAUCAACCACCCAAGACACUGCCUGUUCACCCCGCUAUCAUGCACAAGGCAAGGCUUGUUUUCUGACAAAUGAAGAAGAAUGAGACCUUUCUGUCAGUGGACUGAGGAAUCAUGCAGUGCUGGUUUGCGCGCAUGACCGAAAAGUGAGGCCUAUAAAUCGACCCUUGAGUGCUAAGAUUAUAACACAUGAUCAGUCAGCUCUCAGAGUGGCCCUGCUGGUCCUCUCCUUCCGCCUGCGCUGUAGCUCCAUUCAGCUGGUGAGGCUGCAGACCCCAGACAGCCUGGCCGCUCAGGCCUACCACGUCAUCGGUCUGUGGAGGAGGGGGCUCCCUGCUACCCCACACUCAGCCAAGGCUGCACAGCUUGCCCGCUGCCUGACCAAGAGCGGUCGGCCCGAUCUGGCUAAGGAGCUGCUGUUACAGCAGGCGGCCACCAGGGGGACCCCUGAGGAGCCAGAGGAGUAGAGGUAGAUAGGUAUGGGCAACUCCAGUCCAUGGUUGGGCCUGAUUGAUGUCACACUUUUUCCAAGCCAUAUAGCUAACAUGCAUGACUCAACUAAUUGCAUUCUAAACUGACGACCAUGAUUAGUGGUGCAGUGGUCUAAGGCACUGCAUCUCUGUGCUCGAGGUGUCACUACAGACCCUGGUUCAAUCCCAGGCUGUGUCACAACUGGCCAUGAUUGAGAGUCCCAUAGGGCAGCACACAAUUGGCCCAGCGUCGUCUGACUUGCCUAUUUAAAUAAAGGUUGAAUAAAAAUUGGAGUUAUGUGUGUUAGCAUUGACUGUGGCAAAAGUGUGUCACCAAACAGGCCCUUGAGGACUUAAGUUGCCCAUCCCUGAUGUAGGUGGGGCUUUCAGAAGAACAGUCUUUGAUUUGUAAUGCAGUGUGUCCCAGAUGGAGGGAGUUGACAUUGAUUUAGUAAUUGCAAGCACUGCAUGACUUCUCAGUCAGGUUUGCCGUCAGAACUAAACAGUUAUUUAUCAGAGCAGUCUAUACUAUCGGGAGCUACUUACAACGAGUGCAUUUAAAGAAAGAAGCUGUAAUGUAAUAUCAUAUAAUGAACGUAAUGACACCUAACACUCAGGACACUCAGUGUGAGGAUAUGGGAAUGAUGGGAGGGUGGCAACUUUAUGUACUAUUAGGAGGGCUUGCUCUGUCACUGUUUGUCCACACGAGGGAAG
rnacentral:lncRNA from 1 species